rnacentral:rRNA from 1 species
AUUCCAGCUCCAAUAGCGUAUAUUAAAGUUGUUGCAGUUAAAAAGCUCGUAGUUGGAUUUCUGGCCGGGGCGACCGGUCGGCGCCCUAGCGGCGUGUGCACUGUCGUCGGCCCUGGCCAUCUGCGUUCGGAGGGUCGCUGGCAUUAAGUUGUCGGCGGCUUGACGGGCGCCGUUUACUGUGAAAAAAUUAGAGUGUUUAAAGCAGGCGAUCGCUGUGAAUACAUUAGCAUGGAAUAAUGAGAUAGGACUUUGGCACUAUUUUGUUGGUUUGCGCACCAAGGUAAUGAUUAAUAGGGAUAGUUGGGGGUAUUCAUAUUCAAUUGUCAGAGGUGAAAUUCUUGGAUUUAUGGAAGAUGAACUUAUGCGAAAGCAUUUACCAAGGAUG